UAACCAUCUAUCAUUCUUGACAGAAGAAACCAUUAUUGUGCAGAACUGAGUGAAAGAUAUAUUCCAUUUUCUUUGUCAGAACACACGAAACCCCUUUCAGCUACCAAAGAACUGGGCUUAAAAAGUGCUUCAAGAGCUCAGUCGUCAACAUAAAGUGGUUCCUGGGUGACUCGUGAUAAUCCUAAAAAGAGUUCCUAAAUAGAUUGGAGUUGUUUUCUGACUCUACCUUCAAGAGCUUCUGAUUGUACAAGACACCGCUGUCCAGUGGCACCUCUCAGUGACAAGAGGCAAAGGAGUAACCCAAAACAUUAUCUCCCCACAACCCAGCAUCCUUCUGCCUAGGUAAGGGUAGCAUUGACCUCCAUUAAAAUGGUUC